UACGGGGGGGGCAAGCGUUGUUCGGAAUUACUGGGCGUAAAGGGCGCGUAGGCGGUUGGAUAAGUCAGCUGUGAAAACCACGGGCUUAACUCGUGGCCUGCAGUUGAGACUGUCUGGCUUGAGUGUGGGAGAGGAGAGUGGAACUCCUGGUGUAGCGGUGAAAUGCGCAGAUAUCAGGAGGAACACCGGUGGCGAAGGCGGGUCUCUGGGCAACAACUGACGCUGAGGAGCGAAAGCGUGGGGAGCGAACAGG
rnacentral:rRNA from 1 species